CGAGAAGCCAACUAUUAAAUUAAUACACCAGUUUUUAUUUAAAACAACUUUACUUUAAUCAGAAAACUACUUAUUAAGUACUCUUAAUUACUAUCUAUGUAUAUACCUUACUAAGUACCAGUUCUUUUGAAAGUUGUUCCUUAAAAGGUUGUAUUAGGAAUCGUAUAAACAUGUAUCUACUGAGUUUAAUGUAAAUAGUGAUAAAUACCUCUACUUGACAAUAUUCAGUUGUAGGUACCCUUAAAAUCGCAAUGCCUCAGAUAUAAAAGUAGACUCAUUUAAAAAAAUCUAAUAAUUUUAAUAAUACAAACAUUUCAGAAUUUUUAUCAUUUAAAAACGACUAUAAGAACCUAAGAACG